rnacentral:rRNA from 1 species
GACAGAGGUGCCAAGCGUUAGGCGGAAUCACUGGGCUUAAAGUGUGUGUAGGCGGAUGCCUAAGUACCUUGUGAAAUCCCACGGCUCAACCGUGGAACUGCUGGGUAUACUGGGUGUCUUGGGUCAUCUAGGGGCUGCCGGAACAAAUGGUGGAGCGGUGAAAUGCGUAGAUAUCAUUUGGAACGCCAACGGCGAAAGCAGGCAGCUGGGGAUGCACCGACGCUGAGACACGAAAGCCAGGGGAGCGAACGGG